rnacentral:rRNA from 1 species
CCUACGGGUGGCAGCAGUGAGGGAUAUUGGUCAAUGGUCGGGAGACUGAACAAGCCAAGCCGCGUGGGGGAUGAAGGUACAGAGUAUCGUAAACCUCUUUUGUCAGGGAACAAAGGCGGGGACGUGUCCCCGGAUGAGUGUACCUGAAGAAAAAGCAUCGGCAAACUCCGUGCACGCAGCCGCGGUAAUACGGGGGAUGCGAGGGUUGUCCGGAUUUAUUGGGUUAAAAGGGUGCGCAGGCGGUCUGUUAAGUCCGCGGUCAAAGCCCGGGGCUCAACCCCGGCCCGCCGUUGAAACUGGCAGUCUCGAGUUGGAGAGAAGUAUGCGGAAUGCGCGGUGUAGCGGUGAAAUGCAUAGAUAUCGCGCAGAACUCCGAUUGCGAAGGCAGCAUGCCGGCUCCACACUGACGCUGAGGCACGAAAGCGUGGGUAUCGAACAGGAUUAGAUACCCGGGUAGUC